GAUGAACGCUGGCGGCGUGCUUAACACAUGCAAGUCGAACGGAAUGGCUCCUGCUUGCAGGGGUACUCGAGUGGCGAACGGGUGAGUAACACGUGGGUGAUCUGCCCUGCACUUCGGGAUAAGCCUGGGAAACUGGGUCUAAUACCGGAUAGGACGAUGGUUUGGAUGCCAUUGUGGAAAGUUUUUCGGUGUGGGAUGAGCUCGCGGCCUAUCAGCUUGUUGGUGGGGUAAUGGCCUACCAAGGCGUCGACGGGUAGCCGGCCUGAGAGGGUGUACGGCCACAUUGGGACUGAGAUACGGCCCAGACUCCUACGGGAGGCAGCAGUGGGGAAUAUUGCACAAUGGGCGCAAGCCUGAUGCAGCGACGCCGCGUGGGGGAUGACGGCCUUCGGGUUGUAAACUCCUUUCGCUAGGGACGAAGCGCAAGUGACGGUACCUGGAGAAGAAGCACCGGCUAACUACGUG
rnacentral:rRNA from 1 species